rnacentral:rRNA from 1 species
AAAAGUCGUAACAAGGUUUCCGUAGGUGAACCUGCGGAAGGAUCAUUAUUGAAAUAAACCUGAUGAGUUGUUGCUGGUUCUCUAGGGAACAUGUGCACGCUUGUCAUCUUUAUAUCUCCACCUGUGCACCUUUUGUAGACCUGGAUAACAUUUCUGAUGCUUUAGCUAGCAUUCAGGUUUGAGGAUUGACUUUAUGUCUCUCCUUACAUUUUCAGGCCUAUGUUUCUUUAUAUACCCCAAUGUAUGUUUUAGAAUGUAAUAAAUGGCCUUUGUGCCUAUAAAUCUAUUACAACUUUCAGCAACGGAUCUCUUGGCUCUCGCAUCGAUGAAGAACGCAGCGAAAUGCGAUAAGUAAUGUGAAUUGCAGAAUUCAGUGAAUCAUCGAAUCUUUGAACGCACCUUGCGCUCCUUGGUAUUCCGAGGAGCAUGCCUGUUUGAGUGUCAUUAAUAUAUAUCAACAUCUUCAAGAUUGUUGGAUGUGGGGUUUGCUGGCCUCUCCCUGGGAGGUCAGCUUCCCUGAAAUGCAUUAGCAGAUUGACYGUUCAAUUGGUGUGAUAACUAUCUACGCUGUUGAAUGUGAAACAGUUUGGCUUCUAAAAGUCCAUUGACUUGGACAAAUUUUUUAUUAAUGUGACCUCAAAUCAGGUAGGAC